GUCGAGAAUAAUUCACAAUGGACGAAAGUCUGAUGGUGCAACGCCGCGUGGAGGAUGACGGUCUUCGGAUUGUAAACUCCUGUCAUCCGGGAGUAAGACCUGGCUGUGAAUAGCAGACAGGGUUGAUAGUACCGGAAGAGGAAGGGACGGCUAACUUCGUGCCAGCAGCCGCGGUAAUACGAAGGUCCUGAGCGUUGUUCGGAAUCACUGGGCGUAAAGGGAGCGUAGGCGGCGUGGUAAGUCAGAUGUGAAAUCCCGGGGCUCAACCCCGGAACUGCAUCCGAUACUGCCGUGCUAGAGGAUUGGAGAGGUAGCUGGAAUUCUUGGUGUAGCAGUGAAAUGCGUGGAGAUCAAGAGGAACACUCGUGGCGAAAGCGAGCUACUGGACAAUAUCUGACGCUGAGGCUCGAAGGCCAGGGUAGCGAAAGGGAUUAGAAACCCUGGUAGUCC
rnacentral:rRNA from 1 species